rnacentral:rRNA from 1 species
AGCAGCCGCGGUAAUUCCAGCUCCAAUAGCGUAUAUUAAAGUUGUUGCAGUUAAAAAGCUCGUAGUUGAAUUUCGGGAUCAAUGUUUCGGUCAUGCCCUUGGUAUGUACUGAUAUUAUUGGUUUCUCACCUUCUAAAGAACCGUAAUGCCAUUAAUUUGGUGUCACGGGGAAUUAGGACUGUUACCUUGAAAAAAUUAGAGUGUUUAAAGCAGGCUCACGCUUGAAUACAUUAGCAUGGAAUAAUGAAAUAGGACAUCCGAUUCUAUUUUGUUGGUUUCUAGGAUCGAUGUAAUGAUUAAUAGGGAUAGUUGGGGGCAUUAGUAUUCAAUUGUCAGAGGUGAAAUUCUUGGGUUUAUUGAAGACUAACUACUGCGAAAGCAUUUGCCAAGGAUGUUUUCAUUAAUCAAGAACGAAAGUUAGGGGAUCGAAGACGAUCAGAUACCGUCGUAGUCUUAACCAUAAACUAUGCCGACUAGGGAUCGGAUGAUGUUAAUUUUUUAAUGACUCA